AAAGCUCAAAUUUAAAAUCUGGCGGUCUUUGGUCGUCCGAGUUGUAAUCUAGAGAAGUGUUAUCCGCGUUGGACCGUGUACAAGUCUCCUGGAAUGGAGCACCAUAGAGGGUGAGAAUCCCGUCUUUGACAUGGACUACCAGUGCUUUGUGAUGCGCUCUCAAAGAGUCGAGUUGUUUGGGAAUGCAGCUCUAAAUGGGUGGUAAAUUCCAUCUAAAGCUAAAUAUUGGCGAGAGACCGAUAGCGAA
rnacentral:rRNA from 1 species